AUUGAACGCUGGCGGCAUGCCUUACACAUGCAAGUCGAACGAAGCCUUCGGGCUUAGUGGCGCACGGGUGCGUAACGCGUGGGAAUCUGCCCUUUGGUUCGGAAUAACAGUUGGAAACGACUGCUAAUACCGGAUGAAGACGAAAGUCCAAAGAUUUAUCGCCAGAGGAUGAGCCCGCGUAGGAUUAGCUAGUUGGUGUGGUAAGGCGCACCAAGGCGACGAUCCUUAGCUGGUCUGAGAGGAUGAUCAGCCACACUGGGACUGAGACACGGCGCAGACUCCUACGGGAGGCAGCAGUGGGGAAUAUUGGACAAUGGGCGAAAGCCUGAUCCAGCAAUGCCGCGUGAGUGAUGAAGGCCCUAGGGUUGUAAAGCUCUUUUACCCGGGAUGAUAAUGACAGUACCGGGAGAAUAAGCCCCGGCUAACUCCGUGCCAGCAGCCGCGGUAA
rnacentral:rRNA from 1 species